rnacentral:lncRNA from 1 species
GCUUCCUUCUUGGAUGAGUUUAUUUUCUUAAAAAGUGAUGUGCCUACUAACAAACACCUUUUGUUCAGUAGGUGGUAGAAGUAGUAUUCAUUAGUUUUCUUACGAUGCCCUACAAACCUACACUUGUCAGAUCUAGUACUAAACUUAAGUUCAAAAAUAUUUUUGACAUAGUUGGACAGCCCCAAAUCUUAAAAUGUUUAAG